UACGUAGGGUGCGAGCGUUGUCCGGAAUUAUUGGGCGUAAAGGGCUCGUAGGCGGUCUGUCACGUCGAAAGUGAAAACUCAGGGCUCAACCCUGAGCCUGCUUCCGAUACGGGCAGACUAGAGGUAUGCAGGGGAGAAUGGAAUUCCUGGUGUAGCGGUGAAAUGCGCAGAUAUCAGGAGGAACACCGGUGGCGAAGGCGGUUCUCUGGGCCUGUACUGACGCUGAGGGGCGAAAGCGUGGGGAGCGAACAGG
rnacentral:rRNA from 1 species